CAAAGCAACUGGGUGGGGCCCUGAGAGGGGAAGAUCGUGGUCCACCUAGUGGCAGAGUCUGGACUUGCAGCAUUCUGAUGUUAAUUCUUGAGUCCUCCAGUAGGCAGCCGUCAUUUCCAGUACAUGAAGUGACCAACACUGAGUCAAGAGGCAUCGUGUGUUCUUGCAAAUGUUUUGAAAAAUUUUAUUAACUUCAGAAGUUGCAUUUGAGCAAAUUAUUUUGUUUUUUCUUUCUUUCUUUUUGUCUUUUUUGCCUUUUCUAGGGCCGCUCCCAUGGCACAUGGAGAUUCCCGGGUUAGGGGUCUAAUCGGAGCUGUUGCUACCGGCCUACACCACAGCCACAAUGCGGCUCCAAUCUGGUGUUGCUGUGGCUGUGGCGUAGGUUGGCGGCUACAGCUCGGAUUCUACCCCUAGCCUGGGAACCUCCAUGUGCCGAGGGUGCGGCCCUAGAAAAGACAAAAAAAAAAAAAACCAAAAAAACAAAAAACAAAAGGAAACUUAGGACAUUAUAGUUUGACUUUGAGCCUCAUAUUUAGAAAACAUUUUGUUUUCUCUUCAGUUAUCACAAUAAACUUGUUUUCCUUGUGUUCAAAAAUCUCUCCCACUUUUUGGAGUUCUCGUCUUGACUCAGUGGUUAAUAAACUGGACUGGUAUCCACAAGGACGUGGUUUUGAUCCCUGGCCUUGCUCAGUAGGUUAAGGGUCUGGUGUUGCCAUGAGCGGUGGUGUAGGUUGCAGGUGUGGCUUGGACAUGGCGUUGCUGUGGCUGUGGUGUAGGCUGGCAGCUACAGCUCUGAUUCGGCCCCUAGCUUGGGAACUUACAUAUGCUGAGGGUAUGACCCUAAAAAGACAAAAAAACCCACAACUUUCCCACUUUGGCGUAAAUGAUUUCUUUACCUGUUAUUUUAUUUUUCAUUUUUGGUUGCUCCUUAGCAUAUGGAGUUCCUGGGCAGGAGAUCAGAUCUGAGCCACAGUUGGCACCUACCCCACAGCUGUGGCCGUCUGGUUCCUUUAACCCACUGUGCUGGGGUGGGAAUCAAACCUAUGUCCUAGUGCUGCAGAGAUGCUAUCAGUGCCACAGUGGGAACUCCACCUUUUAAAUUUGUUGUGAUAAGCUUUUACUUUUUAAAUUUAUUUUUUAUUUUUAUUUUUUUUAGGGCUGCACCCAUGGCAUAUGGAGGUCCCCAGGCUAGGGGUCAAAUCAGAGCUACAGCUUCCAGCCUACACCAUAGCCACAGCAACGCAGGAUCCAGUCUGUGUCUGCAACCCACACCACAGCUCACGGAUCCUUAACCCACUGACCAAGGCCAGGGAUCAAACCCACAACCUCAUGGUUCCUAGUCAGAUUCGUUAACCACUGCGCCACGAUGGGAACUCCUGUGUCAUAUUUUAGAUUCCAUAUAUAAGUGAUAUCAAAUAUGGUGUUUGUCUUUCUGACUUCAUUCUUUUCAUGGCUAAAUAGUAUUCCUGUGUGUGUGUGUGUGUGUGUGUGUGUGUGUGUGUACGUACACACACCACAUCUUCUUGAUCCCUUAAUCUGUUGAUGGUCAUUUAGGUUGCUUUCAUGUCUUGGUUAUUGUAAAUAGUACUGCUGUGACCAUAGGUGUGCCUGUGUUUUUGUGAAUUAUAUUUAUGCCUGGGUGUAUGCCCAGUGGUAGGAUUGCUGGAUUCAAUGGCAACUAUGUUUUUAUUUUUAUUUUUUAGGAACCACUGUACUGUUUUUCCAUGGUGGCUGUACCAAUAUACAGUUCCCGCUGUAGUAUAGGAGGGUACCCUUUUUUCCACACCUUUUCCAACAUUCAUUUCUUUGUCUAGUUAUUAUCUAUCUUUUUAGGGCUGCAUCCGCAGCAUAUAGAGUUCCCAGGCUAGAGGUCGAAUUGAGCUGCAGCUGCUGCCCUACCCACAGCCUCAGCAAUGCUGGGUCCGAGCCCCGUCUGUGACUCACACCACUGCUCAUGACAACGUUGGAUUCUUAACCCACUGAGUGAGCCAGGGAUCAAGCCUGCGUCCUCAAGGAUGCUAGUCGGGUUCUUAAACCACUGAGCCACAGCAGGAACUCCUCUCCAGCAUUUAUUAUGGCCUUUUUUGAUGACUUUUUAAUGGCCAUACUGACUGGUGUGAGUUGGUAUCUCAUUGUAGUUUUGUUUUGCAUUUCUCUGGUAGUGAUAUGGUGCAUCAUUUCAUGUGCCCAUCGGCCAUCUGGAUGUCCUCCUUCUUUGGAGAAUUGUCUGUUUCUUCUGCCCUUUUUUGAUUUUUUUUUUUUUUGAUACUGAGCUAUAGGGGCUGUUUGUCUAUUUUGGAAAUUAAUAUCUUGUCGGUGCCAUCAUUUGCAGAUAUUUUCUCCCAGUCUGUAGGUUGUCUUUCUGUUUAUGGUUUCAUUUGCUGUGUAAAAGCUUAUAAAUUUGAUUUGGUCCCAUUUGUUUGUUUUUGCUUUUGUUUCUAUUUCCUUGGGAGAGUAAGCUAAGAAAACAUUGGUGUGAUUUAUAUGAGAAUGUUUUGUCUUUUAAGAGUUUUAUAUUGUCCUGUCUUACAUUUAAGGCUUUGAGCCAUUUUAUUUUGUGUAUGUGAUGAGGGAGUGUCCUAACAACUUCUGUUGAUUGACGUGUGAGUGUCCAGCUUUCCCAAGAUCACUUACUGAAGAGACUAGACAGUCUUGUCUUCAUUGGAUAUUCUUGCUUUCUUGGUCUAAGAUUAGUCGGCCGUAGGUGUGUGAGUUUAUUUCUGGGCUUUCUGUUCUGUUCCAUUGAUUCAUAUACCUGUUUUUGUGCCAAUACCUCGCUGUUUUGAUGACUGUAGCUUUGUAGUAUUGUCUGAAAUCUGGGAGGGUUAUGCCUCCUGCUUUGGUCUUUGUCUUCAGGAUUGCUUCGGCAGUUCUGGAUUUUUCGUGGUUACAUGCAGAUUUUAGGAUGACUUAUUCUAGUUCUGUGGAAACUGUCUUGGGUAAUUUGGUAGGGAUCUCAUUAAAUCUGUAGUUUGCUUUGGGUACUAGGACCAGUUUAACAGUAUUAAUUCCAAUUCAAGAUCACGAGAUGGUUUUCCAUUUCUUUGAAUCAUCUUCAGUUUCCUAUAUUAAUGUUUGGAAGUUCUCAGCAUGUAAGUCUUUCACCUCCUUGGUCAGAUUUAUUCCUAUGUUACUUUUUUUUAAUGUGAUUUUUUUUUUUUACAUUCCCUUUCUGAUAUUUUAUUGUUAGUGUAAAGAAAUGCAGUUAAUAUCUGUAUAUUAACCUUUUUUGUUUUCUUCCAUUUUUGGCCUCCCUGUGGCAUGUGGUGUUUCUGGGACAGGGAUUAGAUCUGAACUGCACCUGCCACCUGAGCUGCAGCUGUGGCAGUGCUGGAUCCUUAACCCACUCUGCCAGGCUGGGGGUUGAACCUGUGUCCCAGAGCUUCCAAGAUGCCACCCGUCCCCUUGUGCCACAGCAGGAACUCCUGUAUGUGUCAAUCUUGUAUCCUGUUACUUUGCUGAAUUUGUUUAUCAGUCCUAAUAUAUUUUUUUUCUUUUUUGGUCACACCUGUGGCAUUUGGAAGCUCCCAGGCUAGAGUCAAAUUGGAGCUAUGGCUGCCAGCCUAUGCCACAACAGCUCAGGAUCUGAGCUUUGUCUGCAGCCUGCAUCACAGCUCAUGGCAACGCAGGAUCCUUAACCCUCUGAGCGAGGCCAGGAAUUGAACCUGCCUCCUCGUGGAUGCUAGUUGGGUUCUUAACCUGAUGAGCCACAAUGGGAACUCUCCAUAGUUAUUCUUUUAUUUUUUUGGGGGGGGUUGGUUUUUUGGGGGCAAUGCCCACAGCAUGCAGAAGUUCUUAGACCAGGGAUUGAACCUGCGCCACAGCUGUGACGACAUCGGAUCCUUAACCAACUGACCAGGGAACUCCUCUCUGAUGGUUUUUUUGUAUUUCUGCUCUAUGAGUUAUUCUCGAUUUAUUUCUCUUUUUAUAUAUCGGUCCGCUUUUCUUCUUGGUGAGCCUGGCUAGAGGUUUGUUUACCCUUUCAAAGAACCAGCUCUUGGCGUUCCUGUCAUGGCUCAGUGGUUAACGAAUCUGACUAGGAACCAUGAGGGUUUCGGGUUCGAUCUCUGGCCUUGCAGUGAGCUGUGGUGUAGGUUGCAGACACGGCUUGGAUCUGGCGUUGCUGUGGCUCUGGAGUAGGCCGGUGGCUAUAGCUCUGGUUAGACCCCUAGCCUGGGAACCUCCAUGUGCCGUGGGUGCUGCCCUAGAAAAAAAAAAAAAAAAAAAAAAAAAAAAAAAAAAA
rnacentral:lncRNA from 1 species